UACUACUCUAAAUGGACCUUUGAACUUC
rnacentral:piRNA from 1 species